rnacentral:rRNA from 1 species
AUUGAACGCUGGCGGCAUGCCUUACACAUGCAAGUCGAACGGCAGCACGGGUGCUUGCACCUGGUGGCGAGUGGCGAACGGGUGAGUAAUACAUCGGAACAUGUCCUGUAGUGGGGGAUAGCCCGGCGAAAGCCGGAUUAAUACCGCAUACGAUCUACGGAUGAAAGCGGGGGACCUUCGGGCCUCGCGCUAUAGGGUUGGCCGAUGGCUGAUUAGCUAGUUGGUGGGGUAAAGGCCUACCAAGGCGACGAUCAGUAGCUGGUCUGGGAGGACGACCAGCCACACUGGGACUGAGACACGGCCCAGACUCCUACGGGAGGCAGCAGUGGGGAAUUUUGGACAAUGGGCGAAAGCCUGAUCCAGCAAUGCCGCGUGUGUGAAGAAGGCCUUCGGGUUGUAAAGCACUUUUGUCCGGAAAGAAAUCCUUGGCCCUAAUACGGUCGGGGGGAUGACGGUACCGGAAGAAUAAGCACCGGCUAACUACGUG